rnacentral:pre_miRNA from 1 species
CGGGGAUUCUACUUUUGGUGAAGCGAGCUCAGAUGACUUCACCGGGCUCGAAUCCCUGUC